rnacentral:rRNA from 1 species
ACGCUCGACACCUACGGGAGGCAGCAGUUAGGAAUAUUGGGCAAUGGAGGGAAACUCUGACCCAGCAACGCCGCGUGAAGGAAGAAGGUUUUCGGAUUGUAAACUUCUGAUCUAGGGGAAGAAGGAAGUGACGGUACCCUAGGAGAAAGCCACGGCUAACUACGUGCCAGAAGCCGCGGUAAUCUGAGCGGGCUGGCAAGGC